GGAUGGGACUAAGACCUGCUAGUCGAGCGUCUCCAAGCUAUGGAAGAGACGCGGCACACAGCUCAGUAACACGUGGCUAACCUGCCCUUGGGACAAGGACAACUCCGGGAAACUGGGGCUAAUCCCUGAUAGGUGAGAACUCCUGGAAUGGAUUCUCGCUCAAAGGACGUUUAGACCAUGCUUCUAAGCGUCGCCCAAGGAGGGGGCCGCGACCGAUCAGGUUGUUGGUGAGGUAACGGCUCACCAAGCCUUUAACCGGUACGGGCCGUGAGAGCGGAAGCCCGGAGAUGGGCACUGAGACAAGGGCCCAGGCCCUACGGGGCGCAGCAGUCGCGAAAACUCCGCAAUACACGAAAGUGUGACGGGGCCAUCCCUAGUGCCAUCCGCUGAGGAUGGCUUUUCCCCAGUGUAUAAAGCUGGGGGAAUAAGGAGAGGGCAAGCCUGGUGUCAGCCGCCGCGGUAAUACCAGCUCUCCGAGUGGUGGGGAUGAUUAUUGGGCCUAAAGCAUUCGUAGCCUGCUUGGUCAGUCCUCCCGUUAAUCCAACGAUUCANUCGUUGGGCUGCG
rnacentral:rRNA from 1 species